AUGAAACCAAAACCACCAGUCCAGGUCUCUUUCUUGCCACUGAAGAGGGAUUUGAUUUGUCCUCACCCACUGCCAACCCAUAUCAACAUGUCAUUAUGGAACGGGGGGAACAGACUGCUUCAGAUAAGUGCUCCCUUUAAAAAUGGACCAACGCAAAAGUUUUUAGACAACUGGAAAACAGAGAGCCCAUUGCUAAGAGAAGUUCACUGA
rnacentral:lncRNA from 1 species